rnacentral:piRNA from 1 species
CUAAGGAAGACCAAGGAGCCUCAUUUCUG